rnacentral:lncRNA from 1 species
AUGAGGUACAAAUGCCGUGGGAAUCACAGGGAGCUAUCAGAGUAAAACACUGGGAGAGAAUAUGGACCCAGGUCGGGACCAAGAAGCUGACCCUGUCCCACAGGUGCUGAGGGACCGGUCAUCAUGGCAGCAGAGUACAGUUGGGCUAGAGAUGUCUUGGAAUAACUUUGAUGACCAGUCUCCAACUUCUUGGUUUGCCACUUGCCUACAAUGACCUUUCACCUCCUUCAUAGCAAAGUCCUUUGUUGUCAUUGUUCUUAUGUUGUGCAUCUGAGGAGGUCAAAGGUCAACCUCAGGCAUUGUUCCACAAGGUGUCAUCCACGUUGACUUUGUUUUGUUUUUAGGUUUAGGGUCUCUCCCUCAAUCCAAUAGGGUGGCACGCACGGCUGACCAGGAGGCCCAGGGAUCUUCCUGGCUCCACAGGGUCAGAGCUAAGAUUGCAAAUGGCACCACCAUGCUGAGGUUUUUGUUUUUGUUUUUGUUUUUGUUUUUUAAAUCUGGGUUCUGGGGCCUGAAUGCAGGUCCUUGUGGUUGAGUGAAAAACACUUUACCACUGAGCUAUCCCCUCAGCCUCCUUCAAGACAAAAUUUAGAUGACAAUCAAGGUCAGCUCAUGAUCCAUCACUGAGGGAAGUUCUUGUCAGCCUCUCAUAACCCAGCCAAUCUUUAUCUAAAGCCCUGAGCAAGUCCAGUCUUCUCUACUGUGGUUCACACAGUUUCUGCUGGAAACAGCCUUCCAGACCUCCAGAGGCAAGAGCACCCAGAACUGCCAGGUGUCUGAUAUGUCACAAUGAAUGGAAACAGGAAACAUUCCGUCCUGCAGGAAGCUCCUUGGGAUUAGGGAGCUGAUCACAGAGGCCUCAGAGGGGAAAGCCACGGAGCGCACAGGAACCAACUGCUCAUCUUUGCCUGCAUGCCACAUGUUCAGCAAACAAACCCUGGCUCAGAAAUCCCCGGUUUCUCCAGAAUGCAAGCGUUCCCAGGGAAAUUGAGGUGUAAAUUGGUUACCUGGCAUGUUGUUUUGAACUUGACUCCACAUAAAGAGAUGUUUAUUUCC